CCUACGGGUGGCUGCAGUGGGGAAUAUUGGGCAAUGGAGGCAACUCUGACCCAGCAACGCCGCGUGAAUGAUGAAGGUCUUCGGAUUGUAAAGUUCUGUGAUGGGGGAUGAACACAAUGACGGUACCCCAAUAGCAAGCCACGGCUAACUACGUGCCAGCAGCCGCGGUAAUACGUAGGUGGCAAGCGUUGUCCGGAAUUACUGGGUGUAAAGGGAGCGUAGGCGGGGAUGCAAGUUGGGUGUCAAAACUACCGGCUCAACCGAUAGUCGCACUCAAAACUGCAACUCUUGAGUGAAGUAGAGGCAGGCGGAAUUCCUAGUGUAGCGGUGAAAUGCGUAGAUAUUAGGAGGAACACCAGUGGCGAAGGCGGCCUGCUGGGCUUUUACUGACGCUGAGGCUCGAAAGUGUGGGGAGCAAACAGGAUUAGAUACCCGGGUAGUC
rnacentral:rRNA from 1 species